rnacentral:rRNA from 1 species
UACGUAGGGGCCUAGCGUUGUCCGGAUUUAUUGGGCGUAAAGGGCGCGUAGGCGGCCUUCUAAGUCGAACGUGAAAUCCCCGGGCUCAACCCGGGAACUGCGUCCGAUACUGGAAGGCUUGAAUCCGGGAGAGGGAUGCGGAAUUCCAGGUGUAGCGGUGAAAUGCGUAGAUAUCUGGAGGAACACCGGUGGCGAAGGCGGCAUCCUGGACCGGCAUUGACGCUGAGGCGCGAAAGCCAGGGGAGCAAACGGG